rnacentral:rRNA from 1 species
UACGUAGGGGGCAAGCGUUGUCCGGAUUUAUUGGGCGUAAAGAGCGUGUAGGCGGCCAGGUAGGUCUGCUGUGAAAACUCGAGGCUUAACCUCGAGAUGUCGGCGGAAACCAUCUGGCUAGAGUCCGGAAGAGGAGAGCGGAAUUCCUGGUGUAGCGGUGUAAUGCGCAGAUAUCAGGAGGAACACCCGUGGCGAAGGCGGCUCUCUGGGACGGUACUGACGCUGAGGCGCGAAAGCUAGGGGAGCAAACGGG